CCCCAAGCAAGCCAGGAAGGAGGCUGGCAGAGCUCCCUGCAGCAGACCCUCCCUGCAGCAGACCAGACCAUCCAGCACAGCUUUCGCAAGGUGUUCUGAUUACAUUUUCUUUAUUACACCACCAAGCAUCUUCCUUAUUCAUCUAUUUAUCUAUCCAAGUCUGAAGAACAAAAAUAAGGGAAAGCGAUGAGAAACAGCUAUUUACAGUAGCACAGGAGACAAUUUGACAGGGAGGCUUGAAUGUUCUGACCUCUAUCACGCUCAAGAGUGAUGACAAUGCACUGAAUCAGCACAAAGAGAAAGAUAAGUCUCUACUUAAUAACACUGCCUUGAUUACAAAAGGAUUGUCAAUGCUCAGGCAACAGGGGGGCAAAGUAAAACAGACAGCCUCUAAAAAUAGCUGCAUGGGUUGGAUAGGCAUUGUUCAAAGCCUCCACUGAUGACAACAAAUAUCAAGGAAAAUUCCUUCCAACCUACAGAGCCCAUAGAAUUCCUAGUGUUGACAAUUAUGUUCGUGACACAACUUUUGAUACUCUAACCAGUCCAUAGAACAGUGUUCUUCAUUGCAAGGCCCAGAAGCCAGUGGCUGCUCCAAAUGACACUAGGUGUGGCUCCAUGGCUAAUUGUUAUCCCUGUGUGAAGCUUUAGCCAAACUCCACACAGCCCUCCUCCACAUCACCUCCCCAUAGCGGAGGUAAAGUGAAGAGGCCAGCAUAGUGGAAAAUGGCUCCCGCAUUGAAACUUUUGUGCCACAGUAGUCCUUGCUUAAAAAAUAGUGAAAGUCACUGCCAUAUAACAAUUAAAAUGCCACAGAUUUCAUGUAAUGACUUGUUCCUGAUACCUUUCUGGUUGGGAGGGAGAAGUUGUUUGGAGGCAAGACUGUAAGCCUUGGGCAAACCUGGGUAGCUUUUCCUCCUACCUUGCUUCCUCACAAUCACUUUUACCCAGAUUUCCCUCCUACCUUGCUUCCCCACAACCGAAAAGUGGGAGCACACACAGCCCCCAAACCCGGACAGAACACAGUUUUUGAUUGUGUGAAUGACCUCAUAAUCUCUCAGAGUAAUCCUAUCUUGGAGUAAUCCUAUCUUGUUUUGCUAUAUCUGCCAUGCAUGUGCUAUAUCUAUAAUGGUAUUAAAUAAUAUUAUAUAAUGGGCUGGCUUGGACAAUAAGAUCUGUCAGCCUCACUCACCAUAUUAUGAAGCCUGUGGGUAUACACAUUCCAGUCCUCCUUCCAGUGUGCCAUAUUCUGCUUGACAUUAUGUGGGGGAGGCGGGGGAGGCACAAUUUGACUACUUUCAUUUAAUUUUUUAUGAUUGAUUGAUUGAUUGAUUGUAUUUUUAGACCACCCCAUAUAAAAUUUCUGGGUGGUUUAUCCACUUCUUGGAUACUCUGAGAAGGGAGUGGAAUGUGGGCAUUUAUGCCCUGUACCAUGCAGUGAGCAGGGCUGUUGAAGGGUAUUAUGCGAACCAGCCCAAUAAUAAUAAUAAUAAUAAUAAUAAGAGAAUAAUGUGUGAAUUACAUCCCAGAGUGGUCAUUAUGUCUAAAAUUCUGAAAGUCUGGCAUUGCUCAGAAACAAAACAGGAAGCUGCAAUUGGAUGCAGGGGGUGAGGGGAAUUGCUGCCGUUCUGUUUCUAUUCAGUGGCAUAAAAGGAGAGAUGAAAUUCUAGAAGUGGCACAGCUUGGAGUCAAUCCAAGAAUACAAUUUCUAAAAUGGAUUUUGGAAGUUAACAGCCAUCAUUUACCCUGAGCUCUUUUUUAUUUUUUAUUUUUUACAGGAUCAUUUUUUCUGAGUCUCCCUCUCUAAUUUGUGGCCAGCUACUGGACUGUCCCUUUCUGUUAUCCAGAGAUAUGCUUCCUGGGUUCUUAUUCAUAUCUAACUGAAUUUCUCUCCAUUGAUAUCCUACUGUACACGGCUUAAUGCUAUUGAAAGGGAUUUAUUGGACAUCCAGUGAACUUUUCAUUUGAUUCAGAUUGGAUUUUCUUUCUUGUUGCUGGCCAGUGUUCCAGUCUGGCAAAAUCUGAUUUUCCUCUGUGUGACCCACUUCCUUUUACUCCAUGGGAUUCAUUAUUACUGGGCACGGAGUGUUAUUAAUGAUUGGAAGGAUUUUACUAGAAAGUUAUUGUCUCCAGACAGGAGUUAUUAGGUAGCCACUUAUAGAGUCAAGUCAAAAUCAGCUCUCAAGUCAUAAAACCCAUGUUAUAAUAAAAGUACUGUUUUGACCAUUCAGGUUAUAAGAGAGAGGGUUGAGAUCUGAAUCAGAUCAAAGCAAUGUUGACUUGCCUAAUAGGAAGCAUACACAAUUGGAGAGGGACCCAUAUACCAAGACCGCAAGGGACAACUCUGGGCAUGCUAUAGGGUACAAAACGCAUCCAGAAAGCUCCCCUAGCACUGAAACUGGGGGUGCCCUUGAAGAAACUGGAGAAAUUGGAGAAACUUCAAAUGGUACAAAAUGCAGCUCAAGGGGCUUUCAGGUAAUACCAUAUUACUUCAGUAUUAUGUAAUCUUCAUUUGUCACCAAUUUGUUUCCAGGCUCAACUCAAAGGACUGUUUUUGACCUUUAAAGCCAAUGCCCAGGACAGUGCAAGGACCAACUCCUCUCAUUUGAAACUGCCCAAGAACUAAGGCCAACAUCAGAAGUCCUCUUCUGUGUCUCCUGCUAUCAGAAGCAUGGCAGGUGGGCAUAAGGGAUAGGGCCAUGUCUACUGUGGCACCAAGGCCACGGAACACCCUCCCAUGGGUGAGGAAAACUUUGAUUUCCAUGAUUAUGUUGGUGUUAGAUUAUUAGCCCCUUGGUGUGACUCUCAGGGACAUAUUCUGGUGACGCACAGUAAGCUUCAGAGGCAAACAAAGACUGGUGAAAAUCAUCCCUGCCUCCAUUUCAAGUGAUGACACAGCAGUCAUUUGGGACUCACACUGCUGCUCACAUGUAGUGCUAGUUUGCAUGCUGGCCACAGUGUAUUAUUAGGGGAGGGUUGUUUUUGAAGUCAUUGCCAUGAUGCAUUUUGUAUUUCUGAAAUUUAUGAAAUGUGAGGAAAGGAUCUGCCAUAAUCAACAGACUGGUUAUUAAGAGACUGGGAUGGGAUACACACUACAAAAUGAACUAAUGUCAGAGUAAGAGAGGGAAGGCAAUAAAAGCUCUGAAGAGAAAACUAGAGUAUAUUUAUAAGGCACUGGAACACUAAAGUUCAGGAAUCUGCUCAAUCAUAUCACUCACUGGGAGUUAUUUAGUUAUCAUAUGCAACAAUAUGAGCCCUGUCUCACAAUCCUGUGAGUGGGCUUGAGGGUGGGCAGAGGGGAAGGCUGCAGCAGCUUACCCUCCCCGGAGACAAGCUAGAAGAGUUGCUGGGUGAACGGAUCGCACAACCAAAUGAGCUGCUGCUGCCCCAGGCAGUGCAGAAGUUCAGAGAUCCCACAAUGCACUGUGUGAGUUGUGGGAUCCCCCCGGCGACAGCUGGCAGCCCACUCCAGUGUCAGCUGGGAGCAGCCAGUGCUGACACACGAGUCAGCACUUCAUCGUCUGGGUGAAGGGUGUGCUCGCGCCCUUAGCCUCAGCUAACCAGCUAGGUGGGUUUGCCGCCGAGGCGCUCCUGGGAGCCACACAGCUCCCAGUGUUUCUCAUGGGCAGCCCAGCCUGGGUUUAGCUUCCCGAGCCCGGUCUUGGCUGCUCGUGAGAACAGCCUCUAUGUUUGGCUUGUUCAGUUUAACUUUCGUUUGAAAAAAAGCCAGUUUGUUUUGUUCUGCAACAGUUUAUUCAUAUAAUGAAUGCAGAAAUGAACAGAUAUAUUUUAUUUUACACAUACUUGUAUCAUAAUGAUGAUAAUAAUUAUAAAACAUGUUCUGUCUGAAAUGACAGAAUCAUGUUAAUGAGCACCCAAGGUAAAUAAUGCUCUUGAUUUGAUUGAAAAGAAAGCUGGCAAUUCAUUAGCAACAACAUGCCAACAUACCAGUGAAGAGUAAGCAGUUUGGGUUUAAUCAAAGACGAAAUGCAUCAAUAUGUCUUAAAUUUUGUAAGAUACCUGAAUUUUUAAAUGCCUCUUAUGAUUAUGAGACAAAUUAUGAAAUACAAGACUAAUAUGCA